rnacentral:rRNA from 1 species
CGAACGCUGGCGGCGCGCCUAACACAUGCUAGUCGAACGAGCGAGAGAGAGCUUGCUUUCUCGAGCGAGUGGCGAACGGGUGAGUAACGCGUGAGGAACCUGCCUCAAAGAGGGGGACAACAGUUGGAAACGACUGCUAAUACCGCAUAAGCCCACGGUGCCGCAUGGCACAGAGGGAAAAGGAGCAAUCCGCUUUGAGAUGGCCUCGCGUCCGAUUAGCUAGUUGGUGAGGUAACGGCCCACCAAGGCGACGAUCGGUAGCCGGACUGAGAGGUUGAACGGCCACAUUGGGACUGAGACACGGCCCAGACUCCUACGGGAGGCAGCAGUGGGGAAUAUUGCACAAUGGGGGAAACCCUGAUGCAGCGACGCCGCGUGGAGGAAGAAGGUCUUCGGAUUGUAAACUCCUGUUGUUGGGGAAGAUAAUGACGGUACCCAACAAGGAAGUGACGGCUAACUACGUGCCAGCAGCCGCGGUAAAACGUAGGUCACGAGCGUUGUCCGGAAUUACUGGGUGUAAAGGGAGCGCAGGCGGGAAGACAAGUUGGAAGUGAAAUCUAUGGGCUCAACCCAUAAACUGCUUUCAAAACUGUUUUUCUUGAGUAGUGCAGAGGUAGGCGGAAUUCCCGGUGUAGCGGUGGAAUGCGUAGAUAUCGGGAGGAACACCAGUGGCGAAGGCGGCCUACUGGGCACCAACUGACGCUGAGGCUCGAAAGUGUGGGUAGCAAAUAGGAUUCGAUACCCUGGGUAGUCCACCCCCGUAAACGAUGAAUACUUGGGUGUUGGAGGGAUUGACCCCUUCCAGUGCCGCAGUUAACACAAUAAGUAUUCCACCUGGGGAGUACGACCGCAAGGUGGAAACUCAAAGGAAUUGACGGGGGCCCGCGCAAGCAGUGGAGUAUGUGGUUUAAUUGGACGCAACGCGAAGAACCUUACCAAGUCUUGACAUCCCUUGACAGGCAUAGAAAUAUGUUUUCUCUUCGGAGCAAGGAGACAGGUGGUGCAUGGUUGUCGUCAGCUCGUGUCGCGAGAUGUUGGGUUAAGUCCCGCAACGAGCGCAACCCUUAUGGUCAGUUACUACGUAAGAGGACUCUGGCCAGACUGCCGUUGACAUAACGGAGGAAGGCGGGGAUGACGUCAAAUCAUCAUGCCCUUUAUGACUUGGGCUACACACGUACUACAAUGGCGUUAAACAAAGAGAAGCAAGACCGCGAGGCGGAGCAAAACUCAGAAACAACGUCCCAGCUCGGACUGCAGGCUGCAACUCGCCUGCACGAAGUCGGAAUUGCUAGUAAUCGUGGAUCAGCAUGCCACGGUGAAUACGUUCCCGGGCCUUGCACA